rnacentral:pre_miRNA from 1 species
AUACUAUUACUUCCGUUUCAAAAAAAUUGUCUUAGAUUUGUCUAAAUAUAAAUGUAUCUAGUCAUGUUUUAGUAUUUAGAUACAUUCAUUUUUAGAUAAACCUAAGACAAGAAUUUUGGGACGGAGGGAGUAUAAG